AUGAAUUAUGAAACAUAGAAUCAGAUAUAGAAUGGGUGUAAGUGGAUAGAUACUAGGGACAUUAUAGUGUAGAUCUUUGAUGAUUGUAGUGGGAGAAAUAUUUAAAAAUUUUGAUUAAACAUUGAGAUUAUGUAUAAAAGGAUCGCAAGAGAUUAUGACAUAUGGAGUUUGAAAUAUAAUGGAUAAUCUAUAGAUCAUGAUAUGAUUAGUUAGAUCUUGAUCGAA
rnacentral:lncRNA from 1 species